GACGAACGCUGGCGGCGUGCUCAACACAUGCAAGUCGAACGAAGUGGCGAACGGGUGAGUAACGCGUAAUCAACCUGCCCUUCAGAGGGGGACAACAGUUGGAAACGACUGCUAAUACCGCAUACGGAAGGAGGGGAUUGUGUCUGAUUCGCUAGUUGGGGGGGUAACGGCCUACCAAGGCGAUGAGCAGGAGCCGGUCUGAGAGGAUGAACGGGCACAUUUGGACUUGGACACGGGCCAUACUCCUACGGGAGGCAGCAGUGGGGGAACUUCGGCAAUGGACGAAAGUCUGACUGAGCAACGCCGCGGUAGUGAUGACGGCCCUCGGGUUGUAAAGCUCUGUUAAUCGGGACGCGGUACCGGAAUAGAAAGCAACGGCUAACUACGUGCCAGCAGCCGCGGUAAUAC
rnacentral:rRNA from 1 species